CGUACACUCCUGCGGGAGGCAGCAGUGGGGAAUAUUGGACAAUGGGCGCAAGCCUGAUCCAGCCAUGCCGCGUGAGUGAUGAAGGCCCUAGGGUUGUAAAGCUCUUUUGUGCGGGAAGAUAAUGACGGUACCGCAAGAAUAAGCCCCGGCUAACUUCGUGCCAGCAGCCGCGGUAAUACGAAGGGGGCUAGCGUUGCUCGGAAUCACUGGGCGUAAAGGGUGCGUAGGCGGGUCUUUAAGUCAGGGGUGAAAUCCUGGAGCUCAACUCCAGAACUGCCUUUGAUACUGAAGAUCUUGAGUUCGGGAGAGGUGAGUGGAACUGCGAGUGUAGAGGUGAAAUUCGUAGAUAUUCGCAAGAACACCAGUGGCGAAGGCGGCUCACUGGCCCGAUACUGACGCUGAGGCACGAAAGCGUGGGGAGCAAACAGGAUUAGAUACCCUUGUAGUCCCAUGAU
rnacentral:rRNA from 1 species